GCAGUCGUACGAGAGUUUUUAACUCAAGUGGCGGACGGGUGAGUAACACGUAAGAAUUUGCCUUUAGGAGGGGGAUAACAACUGGAAACGGUUGCUAAUACCCCAUAUGCUUUCGAGUGAAAUGGGUUUCCGCCUAAAGAGAAGCUUGCGGCUGAUUAGCUUGUUGGUAGGGUAAUGGCCUACCAAGGCGACGAUCAGUAUCUGGUUUGAGAGGAUGAUCAGACACACUGGAACUGAGACACGGUCCAGACUCCUACGGGAGGCAGCAGUGGGGAAUUUUCCGCAAUGGGCGAAAGCCUGACGGAGCAAUACCGCGUGAGGGAUGACUGCCUAUGGGUUGUAAACCUCUUUUUUCAGGGAGGAAUAAAUGACGUGUACCUGAAGAAUAAGCAUCGGCUAACUCCGUGCCAGCAGCCGCGGUAAGACGGAGGAUGCAAGUGUUAUCCGGAAUCACUGGGCGUAAAGCGUCUGUAGGUGGUUUAGUAAGUCAACUGUUAAAUCUUGAGGCUUAACCUCAAAAUCGCAGUCGAAACUACUAGACUAGAGUAUAGUAGGGGUAAAGGGAAUUUCCAGUGUAGCGGUGAAAUGCGUAGAGAUUGGGAAGAACACCAGUGGCGAAGGCGCUCUACUGGGCCGGCACUGACACUCAGGGACGAAAGCUAGGGGAGCGAAAGGGAUUAGAUACCCUGGUAGUCCCCU
rnacentral:rRNA from 1 species